rnacentral:rRNA from 1 species
GCCAAAAAUCUAGCCUUUCCUUUUUCUAUCCUCUAACCCCCAAGUAAAAUAUUUUAACAGUCUAGUAAAGAAGAUUAAAAAACUUUUAAGAGCUAUAAACAUGUACCGCAAGGGAUAGAUGAAAUAAAAAUGAAAUAAAUAUAAAGCACAAGAAAAUAGAGACUCUCCCUCGUACCUUUUGCAUCAUGGUUUAGCUAGUCUAACUAGGCAAAAAGCCCCUUAAGUCUAACUUCCCGAAACUAAGUGAGCUAAUUUAGGGCCGCUUAAUGAGCUAACCCGUCUAUGUUAUAAAAUAGUGGGAAGACCCUAAAAUAGAGGUGAAAAACCUAACGAACUUAGUUAUAGCUGGUUUCUCAAUAAAAGAAUUUUAGUCCAACCUGAAGUAAGCGCACAUUUACAUAAAUAACCCCACUACUUUAGAGCAAUUCAAAUAAGGUGCAGCCUAUUUGAUACAGAACACAACCUUGACUAACGGGUAACACUUGAUUUACAUCUAUAAGUAGGCCUGAAAGCAGCCACCUUUUAAAAAGCGUCAAAGCUUACUAUGUUUAUCCCAAUUCCUUAAUCCCACUCGACCCCUUUAAUUAUACUGAGAACUUCUAUAAGAUUAUAGAACCUUUUAUGCUAAAACUAGUAACAAGAGGCAACCCCUCUCUAAAAUGUAGGUAUACGCCAGCAAGAACCCACCACUGACAACUAACAGGCCUAAAUAAAAGUAGCAACCUCCCAAGAAAACCCUACCCCACCCACUGUUAACCUAAUACCAGAACAUUUCAAGAAAGAUUAAAAGAAAGAGAAGGAAUUCGGCAAACAUUAGUCCCGCCUGUUUACCAAAAACACCGCCUCUUGCUUAUAUAAGAGGUCUAGCCUGCCCAGUGACUUCUGUUCAACGGCCGCGGUAUCCUAACCGUGCAAAGGUAGCGUAAUCACUUGUCUUCUAAAUAAAGACCAGUAUGAAAGGCAUCACGAGGACUAAACUGUCUCCUCUCCCUAAUCAGUGAACCUAAUAACCCCGUGAAGAAGCGGGGAUUUUUAUAUAAGACGAGAAGACCCUAUGGAGCUUAAAACAUCAUAACACCUGCCACACCACUUACUUACCCCGGUUCUCUCCCCCGUGACACCCUGAUUAUAUGUUUUUGGUUGGGGUGACCGCGGAGAAAAACCUAUCCUCCACAAUGAAGGGGGACUUCCCCAAGCAGUAAGCCACAACUUUAUGCAUCAGUAAACUGACAUCAUUGACCCAAUAUAUUUGAUUAACGAACCAAGUUACCCUAGGGAUAACAGCGCAAUCCACUUUGAGAGCCCCUAUCGACAAGUGGGCUUACGACCUCGAUGUUGGAUCGGGGUAUCCUAGUGGUGCAGCCGCUACUAAAGGUUCGUUUGUUCAACGAUUAAAACCCCACGUGAUCUGAGUUCAGACCGGAGCAAUCCAGGUCAGUUUCUAUCUAUAAUAGAGCUUUUUCUAGUACGAAAGGACCAAAAUAGCAUGGCCAAUACACCAGCAAGCCAUAGUUAAUUAUUUUAGAAACCAUCUCAAAAAUUAUUAACCUAAUCUCACCUUUAAGAAAAGGACA